rfam:Clostridium phage c-st genomic DNA, complete genome.
CCUGUUAAGAGUCAUAUCAAAUGGUAGUAGCUUCGGCAAACCCAGAUUCGUUGAAGCAGGAA